GACAUUAGGGCAGCUGCUUCAUAACCAUUCAUGGUCACCACUGACCAUGCUAAAUAUAGCAGCAAAGCAGAGUUAACAGGCCAGUUAUUUUAAUACAAAUAAGCAAAGCAAGAAGAGGGCUCAAGAUAAUAGCCCUUGACAUUCAAUGUGUAGAAAGUCCCAGAAGAACACUGGCUUCAGUCGUGACCUGUGAGCAGAAAGUGGGUAGCUCUGCUGCAUCACCAAACAGCUCUGUAGAAUCGCCAUUCACAAGGCGCUUCUCAACGGUGUGGUCCGUUACAAGCAAUUCAGCAGCAAAUUCAUGGGAUGCGGAGCAAGGGUGUGCCAGGCCCCCUCACCCAUCCUGAAACUCUAUUCAGAGAACAGUGCACCAACAGCAAACCAUACUCAUGGACACAGGCUGCUUUCUAGUAACACUGAAGACAAAGGAGCUGACUGGUGUAAGAGGAGCCACAAGCAAAGGAUGUGUAGAUUCUUCCCCUACUGAAGGCAGGCGAGCACUUCCCACAGAAGGAUGUCUGCUUGAAGGAUGGGAUGAAGCAUCUCCAAAUGAGGGAUAUCGGGGAUAUCCAUUAGGUUCAGAAGUGGUUGUUGCAUGCCAAUAACCAUGAGGACUGAAUUAAGUGGAGAUGGGAGAGAGAUUUGGGAGUCGUCAGCUUACAGAUCCAAGCAUAGGGACAGAUAAGACUGCCCAGUGCGAAGAAAAGUAAGACCUGCAGCAGCUCAGAAACACCAACAUUUAAAGGAAUUGUGAAAAAAAAAAAAAAAAAGAGUGAAAAAAAGCCCACAAGGAGACUGGACAUUCACUCUCCAAGAAACAAGAGGAAAACCCCCAAGAGUGUGGUAUCACAGAAGCCUAGGGGAAGACUGAGGCAAGGUGAGUUGGGACUGAAAGAACAUUGUCAAAUCAAUAAGGUAAGACUGUAGAAACCAGUGUGGAGAAGAAAAUAUUUAGCAAUAUGGAAGAGCAGAACAGAGACAGACAACUGUCUUCAAAUUUCCAUCUUAUGGAAUAAUAGGCUUGAUUUGCUCCUGAAAUAGGAGACGGACCAAACAACAGAAGUCUAUGCAAAUGGAACAAAGUUCUAUCUACCCAACAAAUAACUGAGCUCCCUUUAAAUGCUAAGUUACCAAUCGCAGACAGUGUUUCAGUCGAGUCCGUUACUGGUUAAGAAGUAUGAUGUUGUCUCUAAAAACAAAAUGAAUUAAAUACACAAAAUUAACAACAACAAAGUUGUGAUGAUUUUUCUCUAAAAACUCAAGUGUGAUGUUGUCUCUAAAAACAAAAUGAAUUAAAUACACAAAAUUAACAACAACAAAGACGUGAUUUGAGUUUUCUUUCAACUGAAAUAAAUUUCAAGGACUAAACUAAAUCUGAACUACUUUACAUUAAAGGGAACAAAA